GAUGAACGCUAGCGGGAGGCUUAACACAUGCAAGUCGAGGGGCAGCACGAGGUAGCAAUACUUUGGUGGCGACCGGCGCACGGGUGAGUAACGCGUAUGCAACCUACCCUGUACAGGGGGAUAACCCGGAGAAAUUCGGACUAAUACCCCAUAAAGAUAUUUAGAGGCAUCUUUGAAUAUUUAAAGUUCCGGCGGUACGGGAUGGGCAUGCGUAACAUUAGCUAGUUGGUAAGGUAACGGCUUACCAAGGCAACGAUGUUUAGGGGUCCUGAGAGGGUGAUCCCCCACACUGGUACUGAGACACGGACCAGACUCCUACGGGAGGCAGCAGUGAGGAAUAUUGGUCAAUGGGCGCAAGCCUGAACCAGCCAUCCCGCGUGAAGGAAGAAUGCGCUAUGCGUUGUAAACUUCUUUUCCAGGGGAGUAAAAUUUUGUACGUGUACGGAAUUGAAGGUACCCUGGGAAUAAGCAUCGGCUAACUCCGUGCCAGCAGCCGCAGUAACAC
rnacentral:rRNA from 1 species